rnacentral:rRNA from 1 species
CGGUGACAGGUGCUGCAUGGCUGUCGUCAGCUCGUGUCGUGAGAUGUUGGGUUAAGUCCCGCAACGAGCGCAACCCUCGUCCUUAGUUGCCAGCAUUAAGUUGGGCACUCUAAGGAGACUGCCGGUGUUAAACCGGAGGAAGCGGGGAUGACGUCAAGUCCUCAUGGCCCUUAUGUCCAGGGCUACACACGUGCUACAAUGGCCGGUACAAAGGGUAGCAAGACCGCGAGGUGGAGCCAACCCCAAAAGCCGGUCUCAGUUCGGAUUGGAGUCUGCAACUCGACUCCAUGAAGUUGGAAUCGCUAGUAAUCGUGGAUCAGCAUGCCACGGUGAAUACGUUCCCGGGCCUU